GGAUGAGCCCGCGGCCUAUCAGCUUGUUGGUGGGGUGAUGGCCUACCAAGGCGACGACGGGUAGCCGGCCUGAGAGGGUGUCCGGCCACACUGGGACUGAGAUACGGCCCAGACUCCUACGGGAGGCAGCAGUGGGGAAUAUUGCACAAUGGGCGCAAGCCUGAUGCAGCGACGCCGCGUGGGGGAUGACGGCCUUCGGGUUGUAAACCUCUUUCAGUAGGGACGAAGCGCAAGUGACGGUGCCUACAGAAGAAGCACCGGCCAACUACGUGCCAGCAGCCGCGGUAAUACGUAGGGUGCGAGCGUUGUCCGGAAUUACUGGGCGUAAAGAGCUCGUAGGUGGUUUGUCGCGUUGUUCGUGAAAACCGGGGGCUUAACCCUCGGCGUGCGGGCGAUACGGGCAGACUAGAGUACUGCAGGGGAGACUGGAAUUCCUGGUGUAGCGGUGGAAUGCGCAGAUAUCAGGAGGAACACCGGUGGCGAAGGCGGGUCUCUGGGCAGUAACUGACGCUGAGGAGCGAAAGCGUGGGGAGCGAACAGGAUUAGAUACCCUGGUAGUCCACGCCGUAAACGGUGGGUACUAGGUGUGGGUUUCCUUCCUUGGGAUCCGUGCCGUAGCUAACGCGUUAAGUACCCCGCCUGGGGAGUACGGCCGCAAGGCUAAAACUCAAAGGAAUUGACGGGGGCCCGCACAAGCGGC
rnacentral:rRNA from 1 species